ACUAGUUUGUAAUGGAUCAUCCGAAAGUACAAGGAAGCUUUCAGGAAGGGCUCCAAGAAUAAAGCUCCCAGACUUCAAGAAUACUUGGCAUAGGUUGGGUAAGAGGAUGAAGAAAACUCAAGGGUGCCAAUCGAACAAUUGCUACCACAAAGAUCUAUUGGUAUCAGCAUUUGAGAACCGAUGGAGUCAACUGUUCAUUGAGGAAUUGCUGAUAGAGGGGCUCAUGAGAAAAGACUAUUACAAGUCCAAUGUCCAAAGGUGCCGUCGAAGAAGAGGUGAAUGGAGCAACCAAGUCACACACUAGAGGGCCCUAUAAACACAAGUGAGGAUCCUUCUAUGGUUCUAACAUAGGAACCUGUGAUUAAGGCUGUAGUGGCUUUAGUAAGGAUCCUGCUUUUGUUGAUCAAGAGGAUUUAGACGACGAAGAGAGGGUCGGUUACGAGACCGAUACCUACUUUUUUGAUCCAAAUGACACUAGUUUUGAGGGUGAUAUAGAUGAUGAAGUUCAACCAGAAGCUGGUAUGGAAGCAACUCUCGUGACCAUUCCUACAAAGGGCGAACCUAAUUGGCUAUUGGUGCAAUAGAAAUCCUCAAACCUGAAUCUGAGCAUGAGGCUGCCAUAGUAGCAAGUCCUACCCUAUUUUUGCUGCAUGAUGCAAGCUGAUCAUUGUUGUGUCUUCUAAUUCUGAUCCCGAUGAUGUACCAAUCUCUCCGAUCCUAUAAGGAAUUGGUGUGGCGGUCCUACCAAGCCUUGAGCCUCAUUUUGAAGAUGAGCCUGUCGAGGCGGGGGACAUAUUGAUUAAGCUAGAGGUUGCGGCUACUAGUUUUGCAAAUGCACUAGUGGAUGUGACAACGAUGUCAGCGUUAGUCAUACGGUCCUCUAAAUCACUAGUUGUGACAACUCCAUCUUCUUCUGCUAUGAUGGACAUUUCGAGCGUGUUGGCUUCACUAGUGUUGUUCUUCUUGCCGGGUGGCCGUCAAAAUCAAGCUUCGCCAGCUACUUUUUGUUGGAUAUUAAAAUAAUUUUUUAAUCUUAAGAAAAAUGUGCAUGCA